GUAGUCUCGCACAGAUGCAUAUCAAUAAGCGGAGGAAAAGAAACUAACAAGGAUUCCCCUAGUAACGGCGAGUGAAGCGGGAAGAGCUCAAAUUUGAAAUCUUAAAGGGUUUCCCUUUACGAAUUGUAGUUUAAAGAAGUGUUUUCUGUUGAGGUUUUGGUAAAAGUUCUUUGGAAUAGGACAUCAUAGAGGGUGAGAAUCCCGUAUUUGACCUUUACUUUCAACUUUGUGAUACACUUUCAAAGAGUCGGAUUGUUUGGGAAUGCAGUCCAAAAUGGGUGGUAAAUUUCAUCUAAAGCUAAAUAUUGGCGAGAGACCGAUAGCGAACAAGUACCGUGAGGGAAAGAUGAAAAGAACUUUGAAAAGAGAGUUAAACAGUACGUGAAAUUGUCAAAAGGGAAGCGUUUGACACCAGUGUUGUUUUUCUGAAAAUCAAUUAAAGAACUGUUUAUGCUAAGCUGUUUAGACUUUAUCAGCUAAUCUGUUUAGUUUUGAGCUUUUCUUUAAUGCACUUUUCAGUUAACAAGUCAACAUCAAUUUCUUUUGCUGUAAAAAAGCUUGAGGAAGGUGGCUUGAGAUUCGUCUUAAGUGUUUAUAGCCUCUUGCCUAUGCAGUCGGAGAGAUUGAGGUCUGCAGCGUAGAUCCUUCGGGGCUAGAUGCAUUUGUGCUAAGUUAUAGCAUUUUAUAGACAACUUGUUGACUAUGAUUUGUCUUGUAGCUUACUCGCUUAUGUUAUUUUACCUACGCUUAGGAUGUUGAUCUGUAGUGCGUGCGC
rnacentral:rRNA from 1 species